rnacentral:tmRNA from 1 species
GGGGGUGAUCUGGUUUCGACAGGGAGCCGGAUCGAUGGUGAUGCAUAUCGGAGACGCCAUCCACUCCGUUACCAAGUGGCAACAAACGUAAACGCAAACGAACAACUACCCUUAGCAGCUUAAUCGCCGCUACGUUCAACCGUUCCGCACCGCCGGGAACGGAUUGGGCGUCGUAACAGUGCGGUCGCUCCGGAACCCAUGCCUCUAAGUUCCGGCUAAGCUCAGGGGCUGGCGUCAUGCCGGUCUGAUUGUCUUUCCGUGCCUGGCGCAAGAUCAAAGACAACUAAGUAUGUAGAUUCGCCCUGGAUCGGUUCUUUGGACGCGGGUUCGAUCCCCGCCACCUCCACCA